rnacentral:rRNA from 1 species
GACGAACGCUGGCGGCGUGCUUAACACAUGCAAGUCGAACGGAAAGGCCCUUCGGGGUACUCGAGUGGCGAACGGGUGAGUAACACGUGGGUGAUCUGCCCUGCACUUUGGGAUAAGCCUGGGAAACUGGGUCUAAUACCGAAUAGGACCACGCGCUUCAUGGUGUGUGGUGGAAAGCUUUUGCGGUGUGGGAUGGGCCCGCGGCCUAUCAGCUUGUUGGUGGGGUAAUGGCCUACCAAGGCGACGACGGGUAGCCGGCCUGAGAGGGUGACCGGCCACACUGGGACUGAGAUACGGCCCAGACUCCUACGGGAGGCAGCAGUGGGGAAUAUUGCACAAUGGGCGCAAGCCUGAUGCAGCGACGCCGCGUGAGGGAUGACGGCCUUCGGGUUGUAAACCUCUUUCAAUAGGGACGAAGCGCAAGUGACGGUACCUAUAGAAGAAGCACCGGCCAACUACGUGCCAGCAGCCGCGGUAAUACGUAGGGUGCGAGCGUUGUCCGGAAUUACUGGGCGUAAAGAGCUCGUAGGUGGUUUGUCGCGUUGUUCGUGAAAACUCACAGCUUAACUGUGGGCGUGCGGGCGAUACGGGCAGACUAGAGUACUGCAGGGGAGACUGGAAUUCCUGGUGUAGCGGUGGAAUGCGCAGAUAUCAGGAGGAACACCGGUGGCGAAGGCGGGUCUCUGGGCAGUAACUGACGCUGAGGAGCGAAAGCGUGGGGGGCGAACAGGAUUAGAUACCCUGGUAGUCCACGCCGUAAACGGUGGGUACUAGGUGUGGGUUCCUUCCUUGGGAUCCGUGCCGUAGCUAACGCAUUAAGUACCCCGCCUGGGGAGUACGGCCGCAAGGCUAAAACUCAAAGGAAUUGACGGGGGCCCGCACAAGCGGCGGAGCAUGUGGAUUAAUUCGAUGCAACGCGAAGAACCUUACCUGGGUUUGACAUGCACAGGACGCCGGCAGAGAUGUCGGUUCCCUUGUGGCCUGUGUGCAGGUGGUGCAUGGCUGUCGUCAGCUCGUGUCGUGAGAUGUUGGGUUAAGUCCCGCAACGAGCGCAACCCUUGUCCUAUGUUGCCAGCGGGUUAUGCCGGGGACUCGUAGGAGACUGCCGGGGUCAACUCGGAGGAAGGUGGGGAUGACGUCAAGUCAUCAUGCCCCUUAUGUCCAGGGCUUCACACAUGCUACAAUGGCCGGUACAAAGGGCUGCGAUGCCGUGAGGUGGAGCGAAUCCUUUCAAAGCCGGUCUCAGUUCGGAUCGGGGUCUGCAACUCGACCCCGUGAAGUCGGAGUCGCUAGUAAUCGCAGAUCAGCAACGCUGCGGUGAAUACGUUCCCGGGCCU